rnacentral:rRNA from 1 species
UACGAAGGGGGCUAGCGUUGCUCGGAAUCACUGGGCGUAAAGCGCACGUAGGCGGCUUUCUAAGUCGGGGGUGAAAUCCUGGAGCUCAACUCCAGAACUGCCUUCGAUACUGGAGAGCUUGAGUCCGGAAGAGGUGAGUGGAACUCCUAGUGUAGAGGUGGAAUUCGUAGAUAUUAGGAAGAACACCAGUGGCGAAGGCGGCUCACUGGUCCGGUACUGACGCUGAGGUGCGAAAGCGUGGGGAGCAAACAGGG